AACGAACGCUGGCGGCAUGCCUAACACAUGCAAGUCGAACGAUCCCUUCGGGGAUAGUUGCGCACGGGUGAGGAACGCGUGGGAACUUGCCCUUAGGUUCGGAAUAAUUCAGAGAGAUUUGAGUUAAUACCGGUUAAUGUCUUCGGACUAAAGAUUUUGCGCCUUUGGGUGGGCGUGCGUUGGAUUAGCUAGUUGGUUGGGUAAAAGCCUACCAAGGCGACGAUCCAUGGCUGGUGUGAGAGGAUGAUCAGCCACACUGGGACUGAGGCACGGCGCAGACACGUACGCGACGCAGCAGAGGGGAAUAUUACGCAAGGCGCCAGAGCCUAAUCCAGCAAAGACUCGUGAGUAGAGAAGGAGUUAGCGUUGUAAAGCUCUUGUCCCCGGCAUGAUACUGACAGUACCGGGAAAAUAAGCCCCGGCUAACUCCGUG
rnacentral:rRNA from 1 species